UAAGAAGGGGGCUAGCGUUGUUCGGAAUUACUGGGCGUAAAGCGCACGUAGGCGGAUUGCCAAGUGAGGGGUGACAUCCCAGGGCUCAACACUGGAACUGCCUUUCAUACUGGCAAUCUCGAGUUCGAGAGAGGUGAGUGGAAUUCCGAGUGUAGAGGUGAAAUUCGUAGAUAUUCGGAGGAACACCAGUGGCGAAGGCGGCUCGCUGGCUCGAAACUGACGCUGAGGUGCGAAAGCGUGGGGAGCAAACAGG
rnacentral:misc_RNA from 1 species